CAGGGCGUGGCUGAGACAGUCAAGCACCUCCCUUACACCGAGAAGAUACCCGUGCAAGUCGGGUCGCCCUGA
rnacentral:tRNA from 1 species